rnacentral:rRNA from 1 species
UGGGGAAUAUUGCGCAAUGGGGGAAACCCUGACGCAGCGACGCCGCGUGUGGGAUGAAGGUCUUCGGAUUGUAAACCACUGUCGCGAGGGACGAAGCUCUGACGGUACCUCGAAAGGAAGCACCGGCUAACUCUGUGCCAGCAGCCGCGGUAAUACAGAGGGUGCGAGCGUUGUCCGGAAUCACUGGGCGUAAAGGGCGCGUAGGCGGCCCGGUAAGUAGGGGGUGAAAUCUCAUGGCUCAACUGUGAGGCUGCCUUCUAGACUGCCAGGCUUGAGCACAGUAGAGGCGAGUGGAAUUCCCGGUGUAGCGGUGGAAUGCGUAGAGAUCAGGAGGAACACCCAUGGCGAAGGCAGCACUCUGGGCUGGUAUUGACGCUGAGGAGCGAAAGCAUGGGUAGCGAACAGGAUUAGAUACCCGUGUAGUCCCUGAGCGGGCUGGCAAGGCG